UGGGAUAAAACUCGGGAAAGUUCCCCUCCUUCGGCCUCGUUUGCCUCUGCAUACAAGACGAUCAAAGAGAGAUUAUGGACCCAAUGCUCAUCGAUGGUGAAGAACAAGAAGAGGCGGAAGAGGGUCGAGUCAGAAGAACAGAGCACGGGGACACUUUGCCGUCUUCUUCAACUGGUGGAAACAGAGGACCUCUCGGUAGUGUCUACGAUGUGGAUGGCUCGGGUUGUCCCGUAUGCAUGGAACCAUGGACGUCUCAGGGCAACCAUCAAGUCAGUUGUCUUCCAUGUGGACAUGUUUAUGGUUUCUCAUGCAUUACUAAGUGGAUUCAACAAUCCCAAUGCCGAAGAAGGUCUGCAAAGUGUCCUCAAUGUAAUGCAGUUUGUGUUUUGAGGGAUGUUAGAAAGCUUUAUGCAUCUCCAGUGGCUGUCCAGGGUGAUAAUCUACAAAAGAAAGUUAAAUCCCUUGAGGCUGAAAUUGGUUCCCUCAGAACUGAGAGAGCGAAUUUGCUUGAUAUACAAGAUACUUUACUUAAUGUACAAGAUAAUUUGCUCAAGGCAUUACAUCACCUCCAGAGCCCAGUUUGUGGGGCGGGUGCACACAUGGUGGAUGGAUUUAUUUCUGGUAAAGAGUUUCAGCAUGGGCAAUCUGGACCUAGAUGUCAAUUGCACUUCAGAGGAGAGGGAUCUCUUCACUGCAACUUUGUAUUAGAGCAUGAGUUGGCAGUUGAAAGUGCAAGGCAUUUUGAUAUGAAUGUUUCUUAUCAAAUUCUGAUUCUUGCACGAAGAGCCUCUGGGAUGAGUGGGGCACAUAUGCUGAACAAAAUAAACUUGAUAUAUCCUCGUGAAAAUGAAGAUAUACAGCUUCCUGCAAGUACAAAAGCUGUUAAAGAUCUACAUGUUUCUUCCUGUGGCAGACUAGUACUUUUAGCUUCUCUUGGGAAACAAAUAUCAAUUCUAAGCAUGGGAGACAACAGUGUAGUCCUCACUUAUGAUUUACCGGCACCAGCUUGGUCAUGUUCCUGGGAUCUUAACAGUCCAAAUUUUAUGUAUGCUGGUUUACAGAAUGGCAUGCUUUUGGUGUUUGAUAUGCGUCAAAGUGGGCGUCUUUUAGGAUCAAUGUGUGGGCUUGCCACCCACCCAAUUCAUACUAUACACUCUCUUUUGCAUAAUCCUGCUCAUGGUUGCAUUGACCGAAAACUCCUUACUGCUGCAUCUAUUGGCCCUUGUGUGUGGAACACCAGCUGUCAUAGAGAAAGGCCAUUUCUGGUUCCUGGACUGGAGAAUCAAGGCAUUUGUACAUCACUUGCUUAUAAUGCUUCUAGUGAUGACAUUGUUGUUUCAUAUCGUCCCAAAGUACAGGCCUCCACUGGAACUGUGACUUCUCUAUCUUCACGUCCUCAUUCAGAUGCUGUUCUUGAACAAGGUAUACUGGGAUCUCAAGUACAUCUCAAGCGGGUGGCUGGUAGCUUUUACCAUAAAUUGGGAUCUGCACCCGCUUGUGUAGGUGAUGUUCAAAUGACGAAGUCUACCAUUAUAAAUGUGGAGAAUCGCUAUCCAUUAUUUGCGUAUGGGGAUGAACUAACACAUGGAUUGAGACUGGCCGAGUUGCCAAGUUUGAAUGUCACACAGAAUCUUAAACCACAUCAGCAUCCCAUUCUUGAUGUGAAAUAUGCACAUUAUGGGGUUUCAGGCUUGCUUGGUUGCAUAAGCAAAGACAAACUGCAACUUUUUUCCAGAAAAAUCCAGUGAAAAAGAAGGAUCAUCAGCAUCAUCAAUGUCCGGGAGCAGGUUCAGGAGUUGCUAGAAAAAGCUGCACCGCAGUCCCUGGGAAAAUCCUGGAUGCUGCUGUUCGCUUCAAAACCUCAAGAAAGAUCUCAUGUUUUGCCAAACUAACCACAUAGCAAGCCACAGAACCUGCCAAUUUGCCAGCAUGCAAAAAUUUCAUAGCCAGAGGAACCUCCAUGCGCCGCCAUGUGUAGGAUGAAAGCUGGAAGUGCCGACCUCAUGCACUGGCACACCAGCAUGUGAGAGUCUUUUGAGCAGCCAUUUAUUUGCUCUAAUAUGUCUUGAAUCUUUCCCUACACCAUAAUACCAGGGCCUACGGGAAAUCGAGUCUUAGAGCUCCAAAGCGGGACUUAGACAAUUUCGCUGAGGGUGAGUGUUGGUGGGACACUGGUCUGUUUAUAUUAGAUGUUUUGGGUGUUUUGGGUUGUAAUAUGAAUUUUGGGUAUGGUAGAUAUAGCGGUUGUGAGAUAGUACUCUGGUAUGUAGGAAAUGGAUGAUCUUUUGCUUUUGUUGUAUGCAUGUAAAUUAUGUUAUGGAAAGAAUGUACCCGGAAUUCCCUUUUGGGUUCGGGUUGUCACACUUAAUGUAUCAGAGGUAGUGUGUUAUUAUAUGUGAAUAAAUGAAUUAUUGUUAUUAUGUUAAGUGA